rnacentral:lncRNA from 7 species
GAAAUGGGGUCCUCAGACCCCUUUUUGGGGGUACAACCGAAGGAAUUGGGGUCCCCAGAGCACUUUUUGGGAUACAGUCACAGGCAAUGGGGUCCUUAGCACCCUUUUUGGGGCACAACUGAUAAAAAUGGGGUCCCAAGACCCCUUUUUUGGGGGUACAACCAAAGGAAAUGGGGUCCCCAGAGCCCUUUUUGGGGUACAACCGAAGGAAAUGGGGUCCUUAGCACCCUUUUUGGGGUACAACUGAAGGCAAUGGGGUUCCCAAAGCACUUUUUGGGGGUACAACCGAAGGCAAUGGGGUCCCCAGAGCCCUUUUUGGGGGUACAACCGAAGGAAUUGGGGUCCUUAGCACCCUUUUUGGGGUACAACUGAAGGCAAUGGGGUUCCCAAAGCACUUUUUGGGGGUACAACUGAAGGCAAUGGGGUUCCCAAAGCACUUUUUGGGGGCACAACCGAAGGCAAUGGGGUCCCCAGAGCCCUUUUUGGGGGUACAACCGAAGGAAUUGGGGUCCUUAGCACCCUUUUUGGGGUACAACUGAAGGCAAUGGGGUUCCCAAAGCACUUUUUGGGGGUACAACCGAAGGAAAUGGGGUCCCCAGAGCCCUUUUUGGGGGUACAACCGAAGGAAUUGGGGUCCUUAGCACCCUUUUUGGGGUACAACUGAAGGCAAUGGGGUUCCCAAAGCACUUUUUGGGGGUACAACCGAAGGAAAUGGGGUCCCCAGAGCACUUUUUGGGAUACAGUCACAGGCAAUGGGGUCCUUAGCCCCCUUUUUGGGGCACAACUGAAGGCAAUGGGGUCCCGAGACCCCUUUUUUGGGGGUACAACCAAAGGAAAUGGGGUCCCCAGAGCACUUUUUGGGGGUACAACCGGAGGAAAUUGGGUCCCCAGAGCCCUUUUUGGGGGUACAACCGAAGGAAUUGGGGUCCUUAGCACCCUUUUUGGGGUACAACUGAAGGCAAUGGGGUUCCCAAAGCACUUUUUGGGGGUACAACGAAAGGAAUUGGGGUCCCCAGAGCCCUUUUUGGGGUACAACCGAAGGAAAUGGGGUCCCCAGAGCCCUUUUUGGGGUACAUUGUUCCCCUCCCAAUUUGGGGUACAACACCGCGAACACAAUCGUCCCCUCCCACCGCCACCCCAAGAAGACACCGCACUCCUUCAGCCCUCGGCCACCAUCGCCGCCAUGUUGUCACCAUCACACCGUCACCGUCACGUUGUCACCGUUACAUCAUCACCUCCAUGUUGUCGCCGCCGCCAUGUUGUCACCGCCAUGUUGUCACCGCCAUGUUGUCACCGCCACACCGUCACUGUCACGUUGUCACCGUUACAUCAUCACCGCCAUGUUGUCACCGCCAUGUUGUCACCGUCACACCGUCACUGUCACGUUGUCACCGUUACAUCAUCACCGCCAUGUUGUCACCUCCAUGUUGUCACCGCCAUGUUGUCACCGCCAUGUUGUCACCGUCACACCGUCAUCGUCACGUUGUCACCGCCAUGUUGUCACCGCCAUGUUGUCACCGUCACACCGUCACCGUCACGUCGUCAACAUUACAUCAUCACCGCCAUGUUGUCACCGUCACACCGUCACUGUCACGUUGUCACCGUCGUCACCGUCACAUCAUCGCCAUGUUGUCACCGUCACAUUGUCACUGUCAUCACCGCCAUGUUGUCACCGUCAC